rnacentral:Y_RNA from 1 species
GGCUGGUCCAAUGGUAGUGGGUUAUCAGAACUUAUUAACAUUAGUGUCACUAAAGUUGGUAUCCAAUCCCUCUCCACUGCUAAAUUUGACUGGCUAAAA